rnacentral:rRNA from 1 species
AACGAACGCUGGCGGCAUGCCUAACACAUGCAAGUCGAACGAGACCUUCGGGUCUAGUGGCGCACGGGUGCGUAACGCGUGGUAACCUGCCCUUAGGUUCGGAAUAACUCCCCGAAAGGGGUGCUAAUACCGGAUAAUGUCUUCGGACCAAAGAUUUAUCGCUUUUGGAUGGGCCCGCGUUGGAUUAGCUAGUUGGUAGGGUAAAAGCCUACCAAGGCGACGAUCCAUAGCUGGUCUGAGAGGAUGAUCAGCCACACUGGGACUGAGACACGGCCCAGACUCCUACGGGAGGCAGCAGUAGGGAAUAUUGGACAAUGGGCGAAGGCCUGAUCCAGCAAUGCCGCGUGAGUGAUGAAGGCCUUAGGGUUGUAAAGCUCUUUUACCCGAGAUGAUAAUGACAGUACCGGGAGAAUAAGCUCCGGCUAACUCCGUG